AACGAACGCUGGCGGCGCGCCUAAUACAUGCAAGUCGAGCGAGAAGGUGUAGCAAUACACUUGUAAAGCGGCGAACGGGUGAGGAAUGCAUGGGUAACCUACCCUCGAGUGGGGAAUAACUAGCCGAAAGGUUAGCUGAUACCGCAUACGUUUCCGGAACUUCGGUUUCGGAAAGAAAGCAAUACCGUGGGUAUUGCGCUCCUGGAUGGGCUCAUGUCCUAUCAGCUUGUUGGUGAGGUAACGGCUCACCAAGGCUUCGACGGGUAGCUGGUCUGAGAGGACGAUCAGCCACACUGGCACUGCGACACGGGCCAGACUCCUACGGAGGCAGCAGUAAGGAUAUUGCGCAAUGGACGAAAGUCUGACGCAGCGACG
rnacentral:rRNA from 1 species